AACGAACGCUGGCGGCAGGCUUAACACAUGCAAGUCGAGCGCCCCGCAAGGGGAGCGGCAGACGGGUGAGUAACGCGUGGGAACCUACCCUUUUCUACGGAAUAACGCAUGGAAACGUGUGCUAAUACCGUAUACGCCCUUUGGGGGAAAGAUUUAUCGGAGAAGGAUGGGCCCGCGUUGGAUUAGCUAGUUGGUGGGGUAAAGGCCUACCAAGGCGACGAUCCAUAGCUGGUCUGAGAGGAUGAUCAGCCACAUUGGGACUGAGACACGGCCCAAACUCCUACGGGAGGCAGCAGUGGGGAAUAUUGGACAAUGGGCGCAAGCCUGAUCCAGCCAUGCCGCGUGAGUGAUGAAGGCCCUAGGGUUGUAAAGCUCUUUCACCGGA
rnacentral:rRNA from 1 species